CUCACAACGCUGUGUUUCGGUGGAAAUCAGGAGUUUUGAAGUGUUUGUAGCGGUUUAUCGUUGUUAGCGCGGCGGCUGUCAAGUACUGAGGAGUUUGCUAAGUUCAAGUUACAGCUCAAAAAUACGGUAAAUAUCUCAGGGGAGUAAAAGGAAGAGAUGUACACACCAGAAAGGGGCCCCAGCAGACACAAGACACCACAGUGACGGCUGCGAGUUGCACCAUCAUCUCCACAUCCAGUGUGCAAAACAAGGAAGCAGACGAUGCUGUUGAUGCACGACGAUCACUGCUACCUGAAGUUUCUUUUUUGCAUGUUCCUCCUUUUUCUCUCCCUCUCUGUAGAGAGCCGUUUUAUCACAACCUUCUGGAUCUGGAUUUUCCAUCCUCCUUCUCUGCUAAAAGCAUUCCUUCCAUCUAUUGAUCUCUUCUGAUAAUCUUAUGGAGCAGAGUGGAUUUCAGCUUGCUCUCAGUUAUUUUCCGAUUGAUUAACUGCUUGCUAAAUGGUUCAACACUCGUAAUAAGAAGCAGAUAUUGGUUACAAUCUUUUCUCUGUUACAAUAAGAUGUUUUUUCUUUCCUGAAAGCAUGUAGUAUACAUGUCUCAUAAACAAAUGUGAUGUCAUUGAUAAAACCUCAUAUAAUACAAUGAUAAAAUGUAGCCCUAGCAAUGUCUUUGUAAAAUAAUAAGAUCAAUAGAAACCAGAUUCAGCCCUGACCUUUAAUGCAAACUAAAUUUCUAAAUGUAGUAAUCCUGUAUGAUUUAAUUGCUUGUCUCUGUCUAAACCUUUGAGUUUUUCUAUGAACCAUCAUGACGCUGAUCUUACAUAAACAGGAAGGAAUAGGAGAAAGUCUCCCAUUUCCUGUAUACUUUUCAACCCACCUCAAGAAAUACCUUCGAAAUCAUCAGCAAUGUUAUAUAUAUGAUUACAUUUAUUUUUGCAAAUCUAAAAAAAUGACAUUUACAAUACAUAUUUUAAGAAUUCACACAGAGAAAGAGAUGUAAACAAGAAAUAAACAGCAUCAGUGUAAAAUAUGCAAUGUGUUCUAAAACCAUGUGUUACAGCGGUGCUACCAUUUCAGAGGACCAUAACAACUGAACUUAUCUAAUAUCAGUUUCAAGCAAAUAGCAUAUGAACUCGCUGAAUAAACAACUCUUUUCGAUGUAUUCAGAUGCAAUAAAUGCAGCAGCCUUGGAGCCAAACACUAAUAUAGGCAAAAAUUCCCAGCGACUUAUAUACAGGCAAAAAUUCAAAUGAUAAAUCUGUGUUUGUGUUUUGAAUUUCAUUUGUAUUUCUCAAGCUCAAAGAUUUAAAAGAAGAGCUUGCAAUAUAAGUAUAUUUUGGAUUGUCCUUGCUGAUUGAAAUAAGUACCUGAAUGAAGCAACUUACAUUAGUAGACGUGCCUGAUUAAGUUCUACAAACGUGUAAUUUUGAGCAAAAGAACAUAUAAUUUUUCAUAUAAAAAUACUGUUUUUGUAUGUACAUUUCCUAAAUAAAUUACAUAAUUUAUCAAGUUACAAAAAUACUGUUAAAAAAAGUAUUGCCAUGAAAUUAUGGACAGUCUGAGUUGUCAAAACAAGCCAUGUUCAAAGCUUUAAUAUCCAUAUUGUAGCUGGACUUUAAUCCAAAGCUAUUAAUAGCAAUAAAAAUAACUUUAUUUAUAAAGCCAUUCAAAGUGCUGAACUAUCACAAGGAGUUAAAAUAACAAUACAAUUCCAAGAA